CAUCACUUCUCUGUUCUCCCACCGCCUUUCCGACCCUAUAAAAGAAUUCCCGUCGUCCGGUUUCUUCUGUCGCUCCGUUGGGGCUUUGAUGGUUUUCCGCUCCUCCUCUGCUGACUACGGUCCGCUAAAUCACUUGCCGGAGGGGGAGCAUGCAGCUGAGACCGCGCCGAAGCAAGUACAGGUGAUCGUAGACGCGGAGGCGGAGGGAGGCCAACACGGUCGAGAUCUGCAACAACCGGCGGGAGGGAAAGCCUCCAGAGGAGCAACGUGAGGGGAUCCAGGCCCAGCCCCUCACCGAGAUGAUCCACGCUUCUGCCAUAGGGAAGAAGUUGAACACUAUGCAAUUUGAAGCUAUCAUGUUCUUUCUGAUGGGAAUGUUCUUUCUGAUGGGAACACUAUGCAAUUUGAAGCUAUCAUGCAGUUCCACAGAUUACUCUUUCGAUCAAUGAAUCUGCAACAUAUAGCUGUUAAUUCAAGCUAUUAUUCGUUUCUUUUUGAA